UGGGGAAUUUUGGACAAUGGGCGAAAGCCUGAUCCAGCAAUGCCGCGUGUGUGAAGAAGGCCUUCGGGUUGUAAAGCACUUUUGUCCGGAAAGAAAUCCUUGGCUCUAAUACAGUCGGGGGAUGACGGUACCGGAAGAAUAAGCACCGGCUAACUACGUGCCAGCAGCCGCGGUAAUACGUAGGGUGCAAGCGUUAAUCGGAAUUACUGGGCGUAAAGCGUGCGCAGGCGGUUUGCUAAGACCGAUGUGAAAUCCCCGGGCUCAACCUGGGAACUGCAUUGGUGACUGGCAGGCUAGAGUAUGGCAGAGGGGGGUAGAAUUCCACGUGUAGCAGUGAAAUGCGUAGAGAUGUGGAGGAAUACCGAUGGCGAAGGCAGCCCCCUGGGCCAAUACUGACGCUCAUGCACGAAAGGCGUGGGGAGCAAACAGGAUUAGAUACCCUGGUAGUCCACGCCCUAAACGAUGUCAACUAGUUGUUGGGGAUUCAUUUCCUUAGUAACGUAGCUAACGCGUGAAGUUGACCGCCUGGGGAGUACGGUCGCAAGAUUAAAACUUAAUGAAUUGACGGGGUCAUAGCUGUUUCCU
rnacentral:rRNA from 1 species